GACGAACGCUGGCGGCGUGCUUAACACAUGCAAGUCGAACGGAAAGGCCCUGCUUUUGUGGGGUGCUCGAGUGGCGAACGGGUGAGUAACACGUGAGUAACCUGCCCUUGACUUUGGGAUAACUUCAGGAAACUGGGGCUAAUACCGGAUAGGAGCUCCUGCUGCAUGGUGGGGGUUGGAAAGUUUCGGCGGUUGGGGAUGGACUCGCGGCUUAUCAGCUUGUUGGUGGGGUAGUGGCUUACCAAGGCUUUGACGGGUAGCCGGCCUGAGAGGGUGACCGGCCACAUUGGGACUGAGAUACGGCCCAGAAUCCUACGGGAGGCAGAGGGGGGGAAUAUUGCACAAGGGGCGGAAGCCGGAUGCAGCAACGCCGCGGGGGGGAUGACGGCCUUCGGGUUGUAAACCGCUUUCGCCUGGGACGAAGGGGGGGUGACGGUAAUGGGAAAAGAAGCACCGGCUAACUACGU
rnacentral:rRNA from 1 species